UAGGGAAUCUUCCGCAAUGGACGAAAGUCUGACGGAGCAACGCCGCGUGAGUGAAGAAGGAUUUCGGUUCGUAAAACUCUGUUGUUAGGGAAGAAAAAAUGUAUAGUAACUAUAUACAAAAGAGACGGUACCUAACCAGAAAGCCACGGCUAACUACGUGCCAGCAGCCGCGGUAAUACGGAAGGUCCAGGCGUUAUCCGGAUUUAUUGGGUUUAAAGGGAGUGUAGGCGGUUGGUUAAGCGUGUUGUGAAAUGUAGAUGCUCAACAUCUGACUUGCAGCGCGAACUGGCUGACUUGAGUACACACAACGUAGGCGGAAUUCAUGGUGUAGCGGUGAAAUGCUUAGAUAUCAUGAAGAACUCCGAUUGCGAAGGCAGCUUACGGGAGUGUUACUGACGCUUAAGCUCGAAGGUGCGGGUAUCGAACAGG
rnacentral:rRNA from 1 species